rnacentral:rRNA from 1 species
CCUGCCCUUGAGACUGGGAUAACAGCGGGAAAUCGUUGCUAAUACCGGAUAUGCUCAUGGCAUCGCAUGAUGCAAUGAGGAAAGGGGAUUACUGCUCAAGGAUGGGUUCGCGUCCCAUUAGCUAGUUGGUAAGGUAAAGGCUUACCAAGGCGACGAUGGGUAGCCGGCCUGAGAGGGUGUACGGCCACACUGGAACUGAGACACGGUCCAGACUCCUACGGGAGGCAGCAGUGGGGAAUUUUGCGCAAUGGGGGAAACCCUGACGCAGCGACGCCGCGUGAGCGAAGAAGGUUUUCGGAUCGUAAAGCUCUGUCACAGGGGACGAUAGUGACGGUACCCUGGGAGGAAGCCCCGGCUAACUACGUGCCAGCAGCCGCGGUAACACGUAGGGGGCAAGCGUUGUCCGGAAUUACUGGGCGUAAAGAGCGCGUAGGUGGUUAAGUAAGUCAGGUGUGAAAGGCCAGGGCUCAACCCUGGGAUUGCACUUGAAACUGUUUAACUUGAGGGCAGGAGAGGUAAGUGGAAUUCCUGGUGUAGCGGUGAAAUGCGUAGAUAUCAGGAGGAACACCAGUGGCGAAGGCGACUUACUG